UACGGAGGGUGCGAGCGUUGUCCGGAAUCACUGGGCGUAAAGGGCGCGUAGGCGGCGCGGGUAGUCAUCGGUGAAAGUUCAGGGCUCAACUCUGAAUCGGCCGGUGAUACUCCCGUGCUCGAGCACUGUAGAGGCAGGUGGAAUUCCGGGUGUAGCGGUGGAAUGCGUAGAGAUCCGGAAGAACACCGGUGGCGAGGGCGGCCUGCUGGGCAGUAGCUGACGCUGAUGCGCGACAGCGUGGGGAGCAAACAGG
rnacentral:rRNA from 1 species